CCUGGAAAUCAUUUGUGCCCUCUGCCUGCUGGGCACAGAGUUCGCCGCACAUGCUGGAUCUAGGUCCAGGUCUGCACCCAGCCUGAGUGACCGAUGGUGGCCAGGGGCGAGAGGUAUUCUCCAGGAAUCAGGAACAGACUAAAUGGAAACUCAGCGGUACCCAGCAACCCAUGAUGGCGAGCUUGGCACUCCCCACGACUCCAAACAGUGUGCCCCAGAUGAUUCAAUGUUUCUUGCAGGGGUCUCUGCUGUGAUAUUCCGGAAGCUGCAGCACCACUGCAGCAGGGAAGGCCAGGACCUAAGAGGGUGCAGCUGCGGAGGAUAUGCCCCCAUGGGAGCCCAAAACCCAUCUGAGAAUUUCAGAGAUGCAGAUGAAAACAAGUGGGCUGAGCCAAGGGGCUGAGGCCCUGCAGCUGCAAGCCGCAACUCGCUUACCUGGUGUGCAGCCACGAAGCCACAAGCCACACCACCCGCUUCUCUAAUUGGUGUCAUUCGAAAUUCGAAUCCUUACAGGAUAAAAUACAAAUAAGUGUGGGCAAUUGUUUCUUUUCUGGUUUCCUUCUAUUCAGCUUGAAUCUGUUUCUAAGUCUUCCAGAAGGUCUGUUUCUACACACCUCUUCUUUCUCCUCCUAUAUAGGCUGGCCCUCCAGGCCGAGGGCAUUAGCAGAGUUAACUGAGCACGGUGCUGGGCACUUUAUGCCAUCAUCUCACUUAACUUUACAAGCACCCUAUGAUGACUCUCAUCAUGGCCAUUUUAUAAAUGGGAGAGCAGGGAGGUUAGGCAGCUUCCCCCAGGUCCGCAAAUACCCGCGGCUUCCAGUCUGUAACUCUAACGGAG
rnacentral:lncRNA from 1 species